rnacentral:rRNA from 1 species
AUUGAACGCUGGCGGCAGGCCUAACACAUGCAAGUCGAGCGGAGCGGCGGACGGGUGAGUAAUGCCUAGGAAUCUGCCUGGUAGUGGGGGAUACCGUCCGGAACCGGGCGCUAAUACCGCAUACUAUCAUAUCAACCUAGGUCGGAUUAACUAGUUGGUGGGGUAAAGGCCUACCAAGGCGACGAUCCGUAACUGGUCUGAGAGGAUGAGCAGUCACACUGGAACUGAGACACGGUCCAGACUCCUACGUGAGGCAGCAGUGGGGAAUAUUGCACAAUGGGCGCAAGCCUGAUGCAGCCAUGCCGCGUGUAUGAAGAAGGCCUUCGGGUUGUAAAGUACUUUCAGUCGGGAGGCGUUACCGACAGAAGAAGCACCGGCUAACUCCGUGCCAGCAGCCGCGGUAAUAC